rnacentral:rRNA from 1 species
UGGGGGAUAUUGCACAAUGGGCGCAAGCCUGAUGCAGCGACGCCGCGUGGGGGAUGAAGGCCUUCGGGUUGUAAACUUCUUUUGCUCUGAACAAGGCGCACUUUGGGGUGUGUUGAGUGUAGGGGUUGAUUAGCGCCGGCUAACUACGUGCCAGCAGCCGCGGUAAUACGUAGGGCGCGAGCGUUGUCCGGAAUUAUUGGGCGUAAAGGGCUUGUAGGUGGCUGGUUGCGUCUGUCGUGAAAGCUCAUGGCUUAACUGUGGGUUUGCGGUGGGUACGGGCUGGCUUGAGUGCAGUAGGGGAGGCUGGAAUUCCUGGUGUAGCUGUGGAAUGCGCAGAUAUCAGGAGGAAUACCGGUGGCGAAGGCGGGUCUCUGGGCUGUUACUGACACUGAGGAGCGAAAGCAUGGGGAGCGAACAGG